GGCCCCUAUAGCUCAGUCGGCAGAGCGUCUCCAUGGUAAGGAGAAGGUCAACGGUUCGAUUCCGUUUGGGGGCUCCCA
rnacentral:tRNA from 2 species